GUUUUACUUGUGAUCCUUAUUUGUUUCAGUGGUGUAAGACCAUUUGGAGUAUCGCUGUUGAUUGCUGGGUAUGAUGACAAUGGCCCACAGUUGUAUCAGGUUGAUCCCUCAGGAUCAUACUUCUCCUGGAAGGCAUCAGCCAUGGGAAAAAAUGUGUCAAAUGCAAAGACAUUUCUUGGAAAGAGAUACACAGAGGAUAUAGAGCUUGAUGAUGCCAUCCACACUGCAAUUUUGACUUUGAAAGAAGGAUAUGAGGGGCAAAUUUCCUCCAACAACAUUGAAAUCGGAAUUAUUCGAGCUGACCGUGAGUUCAAAGUUCUAAGCCCAUCAGAGAUCAAGGAUUUCUUGGAAGAGGUGGAGUAAGUUGUCUGUUGAUGAUUUACUGUUUCAA